AGUGAACGCUGGCGGUAGGCCUAACACAUGCCAGUCGAACGGCAGCACAGUAAGAGCUUGCUCUUACGGGUGGCGAGUGGCGGACGGGUGAGGAAUACAUCGGAAUCUACUUUUUCGUGGGGGAUAACGUAGGGAAACUUACGCUAAUACCGCAUACGACCUACGGGUGAAAGCAGGGGAUCUUCGGACCUUGCGCGAUUGAAUGAGCCGAUGUCGGAUUAGCUAGUUGGCGGGGUAAAGGCCCACCAAGGCGACGAUCCGUAGCUGGUCUGAGAGGAUGAUAAGCAACACUGGAACUGAGACAAGGUCCAGACUCCUACGGGAGGCAGCAGUGGGGAAUAUUGGACAAUGGGCGCAAGCCUGAUCCAGCCAUACCGCGUGGGUGAAGAAGGCCUUCGGGUUGUAAAGCCCUUUUGUUGGGAAAGAAAAGCAGCAGGUUAAUACCCCGCUGUUCUGACGGUACCCAAAGAAUAAGCACCGGCUAACUUCGUG
rnacentral:rRNA from 1 species